UUUUUUUUUUUUUGUCUAAUUUCUUUGCGGCCGCGUGGUGUUGUUGUUCGGGAAAUGUUUGGGCGAAUUGGAUCCCGCCUUGCAUCAACUGAAUCGGAAACCGUGGUGAAGAUUGCUUGGAUUCUUGCCUUUCUCCAGAUCUCAGGAUACUCUCUUUUACGAUGAGUAUAGACGCAUACACUAUGAUGAUGAGAUGACCAUCAUACUUGACAUGAUGCACGACACGACUGUUGUACCUCCGAACAUUCAUAUACAGGUAACUAGCCCGACCAGCAGGCCCAAGGGGUGUGCAAGCCCGCUUGGUGGGCUCAUGCUCUCAUGUGUGGGUUGUAUAUAAGAAAGUACUACACAUCCAAUUUGUCCAAACUGGAGGCCACCAGAUUGACAACGACAUCGUUUUAAAGACCAUGAAACCUUCUUCUUUGAUAGUUGCAUUUAUUUUCAUAGAUCUUGAGUUAGUUCAAUAGAUUGCUUUAUUUUAAUUUACUUUGAAUAUUCCCUUUGUAUUGUUUUAAGAUCCCUUUCGUAAACAUGAUCAUUUUAUGAGUAGUUUUAAA